AACUGGGUGAACUAGCUAUGGGUGGGAGGCAGGCUGUGGAACAGCGACCCCCAGGCCUGGGGCCAGGAGCAGCUGGUCUGGGGGCCGUGGAAGGGGAAGGGAAUCUGCCAGCAGACACCUUGCAGGGGCAAGGACCCAGAGGGGUCCCACAAUCGAGGGCUCUGGCCCAGUGGCAGACUGUGCCGUUUCCUCCCAGGACCCUUCUGGAGCUCGGCCGUGGGUGGCUCUGCCCCUCACCAUCCUGCAGGACACAGUGCCUCCCAGCGGGCUCCUCACGCGGCCGUCCCUGUAGCUGUGAUGCGAAGGGAGGUCGUGGAGGGCGCCCAGGACCCACUGGAGGCUUUGCCUGGAGUCGGGGAAGGAGGUACAGGGCUCAGGGCUGUGGCUGAAGGCAUGCCUCCUGGCUCUUGGGGCACUGCUGUUCCGGGAAGGCCCCUCCUCCCCCUGGAAGGCCCCUCCUCCCCCUGCUGGAGUCUUAGAAGCAGCAGCAGUCCCCAGACCCUGGCCGGAGGGGCCGGAGGCUUCUCUGGCCUCGAGGGGCCCGCAGGACGGCUGGGCCUGACCUUGAGCCUGAAGACACACUUGCUGAGCCUUAGGGCGGCAAGGAGGCGGAACCCUCACCCAGCCGGGAGCGAGACCCGGGGCUCCCCUGCUCCUCUGGGGCCUCAGCCCUCAGCUCCCAUUGGGUGCAGCAGGCAACAAACAGCGCUGCAGACUUUGCACCAAGACUGUUUUCUCCCUGCAGAGAUGGGGCAAACCGCAGGCUGUUCUGGCCGGGCCGGAGGCUGCAGGGUGGGUUGUCCCAAACCCGUUUUCCAGGUUCUCCAGGAGCGCCACUGAGCCCUGCUUGCUCACGAAGCCCCCUAACAGCUCCUGGAGGACCGUCUCCCUUACGCCCAUUCUACAGGCGGGGAAGCUGAGGCCGGGGGCAGCUUGUGUGACUCGACUGAGGUCCCUCAGCGAGCCAAGAGUGGAGCUGCAGACCCGUUACUGCUCCUCCCCCCAAGGCCCUGUGUCCUUCCGGGCCAGGGAAAGAGGCGGUGGCGGAGGAGGGCCGGGGCGGCUGCAGGCAUCUUCUGCUCCAGCCGUUCCCGGUUCUCGGGCCUGCAGGAUGCUGUGAGGCCACGAGGGGGCAGCAGCAUCCCGCCCGGCCCGGCUCUUCCCGGCGAUCCGGGACUCAGAGAAGAAACAGCUCUUGUCCACAUGGGGAGGUGAUCUGGGAAGAUGGACCGAGCCAAAGAAGCCGCGACACACACCUGAUGCUGUCAAGAUAGAAGGAGAGAACGCGGGCUCCCGCAUCAGUGCACACAGUUGGAAUCCCCACCGUGUGACCUUGGGCAAGUUGUUGGACCCCUGGGAACCUCAGUUUUCCCACCUGUGCCAAAGGGGUAAUCGCAGCUGCCUGGCUUGGCUGUUUGGGGGGGGGGCGGUGAAGAUAACCAGGGAGCAAAGAUAAAGUGUUGCUACCAGGGCACUGAGGGCCUCCAGGGGGGUCAGAAGGGCGGACCAGGGCUGGGCUUCCUGGCAGGUGCCUGGAGGAGGGGACCUGGACAGCAAAGUUUCAGCCUCAUAACCUCUGGGUACAUCCUCCUCAGGGCAGGGAGGCUGGAGUCUCUCUCAUCUGCCCUUGACUUUCACACUAGGGGCCCACGCACCUACAGAUCUGUGCCCGCCACUGAGCACCCAUGUCACCCCCACGGGAGACUCUGUCAGCAUCCCCAUUUUGGGAUAAGGAAACUCAGGC
rnacentral:lncRNA from 1 species